rnacentral:rRNA from 1 species
AUCGAACGCUAGCGGGAUGCUUUACACAUGCAAGUCGAACGAGUGGCGGACGGGUGAGCAAUAUAUCGGAACGUGCCCAGUAGCGGGGGAUAAAUGCUCGAAAGAGUAGCUAAUAGCGCACACUACUCGAUCGGCCGCUAUCGGAUUAGCUAGUUGGUGGGGUAAAGGCUCACCAAGGCAACGAUCCGUAGCUGGUUUGAGAGGACGACCAGCCACACUGGGACUGAGACACGGCCCAGACUCCUACGGGAGGCAGCAGUGGGGAAUUUUGGACAAUGGGGGAAACCCUGAUCCAGCCAUCCCGCGUGUAUGAGAAGGCCUUCGGGUUGUAAAGUACUUUCAGUCGGGAGGCGUUACCGACAGAAGAAGCACCGGCUAACUCCGUGCCAGCAGCCGCGGUAAUAC